AUGGCAAUUGUCCAUACCUACGGGAAGCCUGACAUCUUCUUGACCAUGACCUGCAACCCUAACUGGGAAGAGAUAACAAAUGAGUUGUUUCCUGGCCAGACUGCGCAAGACCGACCUGAUCUUGUGGCUCGUGUGUUCCAUGGCAAGCUAGAGGCUAUGAAAGAGAUGUUGUUCAAGAAGAAUAUCCUGGGUGUUGUUGUCGCACAUGUAUACGUAGUCGAGUUCCAAAAGAGGGGCCUC
rnacentral:rRNA from 1 species